AAUUUUUGUAAGUGUUUGCGUUUGUGUUGAAUAAACUGUUUGGUGCCCCGACCCGCCGCGUUCUAUUCUACCGCCGCUAGUUGUCACUAUGCGCACACUGUAAGUCAACCUAAAUUCCCCUCUCUAUCUCGUCUUAUUCUGGAAGCCUACUCUCACCCGGAGAGCCAAGCCUUACAUUUGGUGACAGUGAACUUCGUACCCCGAACCCCGAAAAGAUUUUAACCAGUGCCACCGUUAACCUAAAGCAACAUUUUAGCGCCAUCUAUCUGUCACUGAAAAAUUAAUUCAAAAUGCAAAAAACUAUCAAGAUAAAUACGACAAUGAUUAAGACAGUAUGGAGCGAAAAAAUUAUACGUCAAUUGAAAAAAUUUUGAAAAAUUUUUAGAGACAUUUCUACACGUAAGUUUGAAACUCAAGUUUCUACACAAGAACCAGCUAUAAUCAUCAGUGCCAAACAAACGCCAGAAAACACAAGCAUAGGCACCAGCGAAGCUUUUUCCAUCACCAUUGAACUUCCAACAACGAUAGGAGAUCAAUCCCCAAAGGAAGCUUCGACAAAAUUGGAGGAAAACGAAUCUUUAACAAAAUGCGCUACCUUAACGGUUGUUCAAGAAGAUUUAACAGCCAUCUCUUACUACGAAAACGAGGAUCAAGUCUUCCCGAAGAAUAUCAAGAUAAAUAGCCUUUUUUCGUCAACUGAAGAAAUUCAAACACAUUGCCAUCGAGAACCGAGCAAUAUCAAAGAUACUACCUAUUCACCAACAAAUACUACUUUAAAGUGUUUGGCUCUUUGUUUUACUAUAACAACCGCUUCAUCUGCUGUUAACUUCAGACCAUCAUGCAUCAAAAAGCAGUUCAACAACCUCCUUUCCAACACCCCUAUUAAGUCAAUUCUACCAAAAUAUUGGGAGCAAUUCAAGAAAUUUGAAAAGAACCUUACAGCUUUAAAAGGUCACUACUGUAUUCAGCGAUUCAGCGAUCCAUUAAACCACCCAAGGCCCAAUGUAAAGAUGAAAAAUACCACUUAUCUCCACCAUACCUCUAUGCUUAUUCCAAAUUGAAAAUUAAGUCGACAUCACCAACCAUAUCCAACAGCCGAUUCUUGACCAAGUUUUCGCCGUUCUCAUCGUACUUCCAAACACAAUUUACUAUCACCAACAUGUUCAUCAGCACAAGUGACUCAACAGCCAUCAAGGAAAGAAGAUUUAUCCACGGAUAUUUAACCCAUCACGGAAAGGAGAUUCAUCCACGGACUAUCGAUCAAUGCAUUUACUGUUUCAAAUGACUUCGCUGAAAUCACCAUUCUUUUUCUAAUUCCCUUGACUAUUUUAUUUUUCACAGCAACCUAAGCCUCAAAACUAACUUCAAAGGUCUAAUAUCAAAUUGGUUUUCAUCAGUGCACACAAAAAAAAUCAACAAAAAUUAUAUACAAUUAUCCUCCGCCAGACGGAGCGCAUCCCUCAUUAUCCUUCGACUGCCGCGAUGAUGUGCUAAGAAAUAGACAUUGUCCCAGUCGUUAUAUCUUUUAUAGAUUGCAGGACGCAAUCUUUCGCCACGGGAUGUUAUGUAAGGAACGGUCAGCCGCGUUCCUUACAUCCCUUUCUCCUUUCCCACGCUUACAACCCUUUUCCCCUCUUCCGCCGAUAGGUCAUCUACCGAUGGCUCCGGCCUUCAAUCUCCCUUCCACCUGGCCUUCAAACGUGUGAAUUCUCCACAUAGGUGUUACAUUUACACACAAAAUAUUAAUUCCCUUUGCGACACCUAACCCUAAGUGACCUUGCUCCUUCGUAUAAAUGUUGCCCCUUUCCAGAUUGUCAGUCAGUCUCUUUUGCAGUCUUCUGCAGUCUUCAUCAGCAGUCAGUCUUGUGUCAGUCAUGUUCCAGUCGCUUUUCGUUCAUCUUUGAGUCUCUUUGCAGUCUUCACCAGUAAGUCUCUUUAAAAUCGGAAUCGUCUUGUUAACUGUUAUCUCGGUCUUUGGCAAAAACGUUGUGCAACAAUAAACUCAUCAUCAUCACACACAACUAUUCCUCAUAUUCAAUAUUAAAAGUAAGGAAAAGGAAGAAAACUAUUCUUCGUCCUUACAGUACUAAUGGAGGAAGACCUUUCCUGGAAAACAAGAUUUCCUAUUUGGAUCCAGGUGUACAUUCUGAAAGUACAGGCAAUGCAAAUGACAACCUCGACAUGGCAUCUUACAAAAUUAAUUAUGAAAAGUUGAUUAAACUGUACAAAGACAGUGGAAGUACAGGGGCACUUAAGUCACUUUGUAAGCUUACUUUCAAAGGUCGCCGUUAUGAGAUCACCAUAGGUUAUAUAACAUCUCCAGAAGACAUCUUGAAAACCAGGUGCCCGUUGUUGAACCAGCAACAUUAUCUUUACGCUGAACUUGACCUAAUACUUGGAUCCCGUACUUGCAAAAAUUUCAAAAAAAAAUGGGAAGACAUUGUACCAGUAUAGUGAUAGCAGUUGCCCGUAAAUUUCACAAAAAUACAGCGGUGAAAAAAAUACUAAACCGUUACCAAUCUUCAAUAGAAAACAAAUGUUUCGGCAAGUUGUUACCACCAUACUAUACUAACUCACUUGUUUACAUUUGUAUUACACUUACCUCCUUUUUUUUUAGAAAGUGAAAGUUGUGCGGUACUUGAACUGCUACCGGUCAUAAUCUCAGCAAAUAAACGAAGUUGCACAGCCGGAGACUAUUUUUUUUAUGAACACGAGGACUCAUCUAAUAUUGCUUCGGCCAUUAAGAAGCACAAGAGAGAGGGAU